rnacentral:lncRNA from 1 species
AUUUAUGGAUUUAUUUUUUUUCCAAAAAAUUCCAAACUACUACUGAGCCACCCUAUUCAACCCUGUUUUUACACUACAAGGUUUUUUGGCGUUUUACAUUCCUAGUUGCUAAGAUAUUAUAGGUUAAAACAAUUUUCCUUAUAAAAAAAAGAGUAAAGAUUAAAAAUCCCUACUAGGGAUAAGUGUAAGGAAUUAUGUUCCUAUAAUAAUAUUAAACCCCCACAACAUAUUAAAGCCAACAGAGGCGCAAUCGGCAAAAUGUAUUGAAUGUCUAAUGCAUAUUAAUGCAUUGAAGUGUUAUAAUAUGUCAUCAAAGAAUGAGUUACUUUUUUUAUUUUGUUUCAUUUUUUCAUCAGAUAAUAAGCAGCGUUUCUUUAUGUAUGUAUACUGCAAGUUGUGUCUUUGAGCAUGGGAUGAACUACCCAUACAUAUAAAUAAAAGGAAUUGCAUUUCUAUUCAGAAUGUAAGAAUAGGUAAUACCUACCUACAGAUGUUGGUUGCCACAUAUGUUUUGUCUAUAAGACAUUUGUUUAUCUAAGGAAUGAAUUUAUGCAGAGAGUGUGUUGUUAACUUCCUACUUGAUUAAAGUCCUCAACAAAUGCUCAUGAUGCCUUGAUAAAGUGGAGUAAAAAUAAAUCCAUCACUUUUUUGUUUGAUUUUUUUUUUAAUUUUUUCAUCUUUUACAAUCAAAAGAGUGCUUCAUGACGGUGGGACUCGACCAUUUCCAUUAUUGUAUCCACAUUUUCGACAGUUGAACUUGCAUCUUUGACAUCAAAAUUACCGGAACAGAAUCGACGAAAAAAAAAUUGAAUGUGAUUGGCUGGACAGUAUCAGGUCCAUAAGCAUUAUUCACAUUUUCAGCCACCUAGCUUUCCUUUUUGCCUUUAUCUAAGAAAAACUGUAAAAUAUGGAGUAUUUUCUAUUUGUUCGUAUCCAUCUUUGAUGAACACUCAAACAAUCCUGAGUUAAAGAUCACAAAACUUUGUAAAAAGUUUUUUAAACAAAAUUUUAUCUUUCUAAAGCCAUUUAGGGUAAAUCGAUUCAACUUAUAAAACGGAAAAAAUUGGAAAAAUUAUUGAUUUCUUUUUACUCUAGAGGGGGUGAGGUUUUCAAAUCCAGAAAAAAUAUUUCUCAGAAUUAAUUCAGUAAUUCACAAAUCUAUUGCUCCUGCAUGUAUGAAUCCCAUAGUGAAGUAAAUCACUCAAACAAACCACUUCCAUGUUCUACCAUAGCCUCCAACCUGGCACAGCCUUGAUAAAGAACUCAUUGGCCAUGACCUCUACCUUGAGAAUGGAAGUCCGACAAAAGUCAACAAGAUUAUGAAUACUUUUAUUUUACUUUUUCUCCAAGAAAUAUAGUAGUCCCAGUUAUCAGAAAAAUAUAACCGUAAUCCGAAUUCUAUUUUGUUCAGGUCUGAACUUUUGCUCGGAAAAAAAUAUAGAAGCUCAUCUGGCCUUUUCUAGAGGAUAUCUGAAACAAAAUCCCAGAUUUUGGUCAAUCCUCCCAUGGUCUGAUUAAUUUCAUCAGAAAAAUAACAAAAAUUAACAAGGGUAUUAAUGGGGCUCAGAUCCGGUGAACUAGGAGGCCGCAUGUCUACUCAUUUUAAUUGCGUAUUUCAAUCAUUUGUUAUGUGUUAUAAGCCCAAAACGAUCAUAAGCCUUCCUUGCAGGUAUUCCCGACCCAAUAGAUUCAUUGAAAGCCUCGGCAACAUCGUAAACAGUUUAUUUUGUCAGCGUUGCAAGCUUGGUAAUCUCCUUGAGCGUACGCCUGGCACGGUGGCACACAAUUAUGGUCGCAAGGCGUUCUUAUUUGGAGGACAUAUCAAAGUUUCUUUAUUUUUAUAUGCAGUCUUGUCAGCUGAAUCUGAUAAGCUCACUUUCAUAAACAUUGAUUUGAGAGUUGCCAACAUAUUGAGUUUAUUGGAGUUAAUAUUA